CUUUGUUUUAUAGCCGAUUAAAACCCCAUGCCGAACUCAGAAGUGAAACGCCGUAGCGCCGAUGGUAGUGUGGGGUCUCCCCAUGUGAGAGUAGGGAACUGCCAGGC
rnacentral:rRNA from 1 species